rnacentral:rRNA from 2 species
AAGCUCGUAGUUGGAUUUAGGGACGCGCAUUCAGCGUCCGCGUUGUCGGGUCAAACCGGCAGCGCGUGGCGUUGCGGGCUCGGUCCGCUGGAGGACCAGCGUGUCAACCGGCCCGCCCGUCCCCUCCUUCUGGAUUCCCGUUCCUGCUAUUGAGUUAGUGGGGACGUCACAGGGGAUUAUCAUCGGGCGUUCGCGCGCCCGGUGAUGGUCCCUGGGGCCCAGAUCGUUUACCGUGAAAAAAUUAGAGUGUUCAAAGCAGGCAGAUUCAACUUUCUGCCACCGAAUACAUUAGCAUGGGAUAAUGGAAUAGGACCCUGUCCUCCUAUUUUCAGUUGGUUUUUGAGGACCAGGGUAAUGAUUAAUAGGGAUAGUUGGGGGCAUUAAUAUUUAAUUGUCAGAGGUGAAAUUCUUGGAUUUAUGAAAGAUUAACUUCUGCGAAAGCAUCUGCCAAGGAUGUUUUCAUUAAUCAAGAACGAAAGUUAGGGGAUCGAAGACGAUCAGAUACCGUCGUAGUCUUAACCAUAAACGAUGCCGACCAGCGAUUAGGAGACGUUGAAUACAAAACACCACCAUCAGCACGGCGAGCCAUCCCCUCGCGAGUGGGGGUGGCCCGUUUCUCUGGUGGCCCGGUGAAUGACUCCCCUAGCAGCUUGUGAGAAAUCAUAAGUCUUUGGGUUCCGGGGGGAGUAUGGUCGCAAGGCUGAAACU